rnacentral:tRNA from 2 species
AGGGGCGUCGGUUAAUGGCAAACCAGCGGUCUCCAAAACCGCAACUGCAGGUUCAAGUCCUGCCGCUCCUG